rnacentral:misc_RNA from 1 species
GAUGAAGAACGUAGCGAAAUGCGAUAAGUAAUGCGAAUUGCAGAAUUCAGUGAGUCAUCGAAUCUUUGAACGCACAUUGCGCCCUGUGGUAUUCCGCAGGGCAUGCCUGUUCGAGCGUCAUUUCAACCCUCAAGCCCCGCUUGGUGUUGGGCCCCGCCCGCUGUGGCCGGCCCUAAAGACAGUGGCGGCGCCGCCUGGCCCUCAGCGUAGUACAUCUCUCGCUCCAGGGUCCGGUGGCCGCCUGCCAGAACCCCCCAACUCUGUGGUUGACCUCGGAUCAGGUAGGGAUACCCGCUGAACUUAAGCAUAUCAAUAAGCAGGA